AUUGAACGCUGGCGGCAGGCUUAACACAUGCAAGUCGAGCGGUAGCACAGGGGAGCUUGCUCCCUGGGUGACGAGCGGCGGACGGGUGAGUAAUGUCUGGGAAACUGCCUGAUGGAGGGGGAUAACUACUGGAAACGGUAGCUAAUACCGCAUAACGUCGCAAGACCAAAGAGGGGGACCUUCGGGCCUCUUGCCAUCAGAUGUGCCCAGAUGGGAUUAGCUAGUAGGUGGGGUAAUGGCUCACCUAGGCGACGAUCCCUAGCUGGUCUGAGAGGAUGACCAGCCACACUGGAACUGAGACACGGUCCAGACUCCUACGGGAGGCAGCAGUAGGGAAUCUUCCGCAAUGGGCGAAAGCCUGACGGAGCAACGCCGCGUGAGUGAUGAAGGUUUUCGGAUCGUAAAGCUCUGUUGCCAAGGAAGAACGUCUCAUAGAGUAACUGCUAUGAGAGUGACGGUACUUGAGAAGAAAGCCCCGGCUAACUACGUG
rnacentral:rRNA from 1 species